CUUUUUUGGGUGCGUCGACUCGAGGCAACACUGUACCACACUGGUAAUGAAAAAAAGAGAGUUAUCAUUUCAAAUUUGAAGAAACUUUAUUUUAAAAAAAACAUGGAAAAUACUCAAUAACCUCCAAAGGUUACACCCUGCUGACAAAAAACAGCUCAUGCUGGAAGCUGGUCUUAGCUGGUCUUAGCUGGUCUUUGGUGGUUUUAGCUGGUCUUAGCUGAUCUUUCAUGGUUUUAGCUGGUCUUAGCUGGUCUUUGCUGGUCUUUGGUGGUUUUAGCUGGUCUUUUAUGGUUUUAGCUG